GCCUUGUGCAUACCCUGAUAACACACAGCGCUGGUGCAGUCCACCAGGAGCCUCUCAGAUGAAUCACUGCCCAAGGAAAUGGUGCUUUCAACCAGGCCACUCCUCCAAAGCUACACAAGUAUGCGUGUAAAUCUUCAAAUCCAGUCUUGUAUUUGCGUCAUUCAAAAAUUCGUGAUCACAGUGCUGUACUGGAUUGAAAGCAAGAAACCCUUCACCAAGUGCAAACCCUCAGUCUUGGACUUUCCAGAGAAGGCAAAAGAGAAGCUAACUGCCCAGUGAGUAGAGCGGAUGGUCCCUCGAUUCCAGGGAGUCAGGAUGUUGUGUCUCCUCUCCCAGGUCUCUUCUCCCUCAUACUGAUGCCCUUCAGUCGAGCUAAGCAAGAGCAUCCAACAAACCAAGGCAGCGGAGCAUGCAUGUGUGUAGGUGGAAAGAAUGACCUUUUCUAUGUCCUGCCCAACCUUCAAAGAUGCUCUUAAAUGGCAUGCCCCAGCUGCUGGCAUGCAUUUGGAAAAGCAACUCAAAGCUAACUGCUUGCCCCUGGAAUCCCAUUUAUCCAGAAAAAUUCAAAGUGGCAGUCAUCUAACCUUUGUAGAGUAACAAAACAUCAAUAUUUCCCUUAAACAGCUUCAAAAUAUACUUAUAGACAACAUUUUUGGAAAAAAAGAUAGAAGCAAUUACACAUAAAAAUCUGGCACAAUCAUUUUUGUGAGCUGAUUAUAGAAAAAGAAACCUAAUUGUCUUUUUUUUUUUUUUCAUGGAAGAAAGGAGAAGUCAGUAAGUGAUAAUGCACCUUAAGAGGUGACCAUCUGCCAAGCCACUAGGCCAAGCCUGACCCUAGCUGGAAGCUAUACACUUCCAUCUAAUAGAAUAAUUCCAACUCGGGGACUCUCCCAAGGCUGCAGCCUACCUUCCCCAACUCCUAGGCUCUAACAUUCAUUCCCUAUGGACUCCAGCCACUGGACACAGUUGCUUCCUUCUAGUCAAUACACUUAUUUAGAGCACCAUUAACAUUUUGAUAUUUG
rnacentral:lncRNA from 1 species